rnacentral:rRNA from 1 species
GCCUUCGGGUACAAUUGAGACAGGUGGUGCAUGGUUGUCGUCAGCUCGUGUCGUGAGAUGUUGGGUUAAGUCCCGCAACGAGCGCAACCCUUGUGUUUAGUUGCAAACAGGUCAAGCUGUGCACUCUAGACAGACUGCCGUGGACAACACGGAGGAAGGUGGGGAUGACGUCAAAUCAUCAUGCCCCUUAUGAUCUGGGCUACACACGUGCUACAAUGGCCGGUACAACGGGCAGCGAAGGAGCGAUCCGGAGCGAAUCCUAAAAAGCCGGUCCCAGUUCGGAUUGCAGGCUGAAACUCGCCUACAUGAAGUUGGAGUUGCUAGUAAUCGCGAAUCAGAAUGUCGCGGUGAAUGCGUUCCCGGGUCUU